AUACAGGACUUUAAAUAGUUUUGUAAUUGGAAUGAGUUAAGUAUAAACCCCUUUACAAGUAUCAAUUGGAGGGCAAGUCUGGUGCCAGCAGCCGCGGUAAUUCCAGCUCCAAUAGCGUAUAUUAAAGUUGUUGCAGUUAAAAAGCUCGUAGUUGGAUUUCUGUUAAUAAUUUAUAUAUAAUAUUUUAUUAAUAUUUAUAUAGUAUUAACAUAAUUCAUAUUACUAUAUUUUAUAGUAUAUGAAAUUUUACUUUGAGAAAAUUAGAGUGCUUAAAGCAGGCAUUAGCCUUGAAUACUCCAGCAUGGAAUAAUAUAAAAGAUUUUUAUCUUUUUUAUUGGUUCUAAGAUAAAAAUAAUGAUUAAUAGGGACAGUUGGGGGCAUUUGUAUUUAACAGUCAGAGGUGAAAUUCUUAGAUUUGUUAAAGACAAACUAGUGCGAAAGCAUUUGCCAAGGA
rnacentral:rRNA from 1 species